rnacentral:rRNA from 1 species
CACGUAGGCGGCUCGGCAAAUCAGUCGUGGAAUCCCGUCGCUUACCGGCGGAACGGCGGCUGAAAAUACCGGGCUAGAGGGCGUGAGGGGUCGCUGGAACUCCUGGUGAAGCGGUGAAAUGCGUAGAUAUCAGGAGGAACGCCGGAGGCGAAAGCGAGCGACUGGCGCGUUCCUGACGCUGAGGUGCGAAAGCUAGGGGAGCAAACAGGAUUAGAUACCCUGGUAGUCCUAGCCGUAAACGAUGGACACUGAGUGAAGGAGGGCUUGCCCUUCUUUGCUGCAGCUAACGCGUUAAGUGUCCCGCCUGGGGAGUACGGCCGCAAGGUUAAA